UCUUCCUUUAACCUUAAUAGUGUGGAAUUAGCAUCAUCAACCUUGUACUGGAGUUCCUUUAACUUCUCCUCUAUUUCAGAUUCCUCAGCCUGAGUAUUUUUAACAUGUUGUUCCUGAAUAUCCUGGACUUCUUGUUGAAGCGAGCUUGCACGCUUCAGUAUGCUCUGAAUGCGCUUGGUUUCACGGCCUCUAGCUCAAGUUUCUGUUUUGUUGCCGAGGAAAUAGAAUGUCGCAAAUCAUCCUGCUUUC
rnacentral:misc_RNA from 1 species